CCUACGGGAGGCUGCAGUGAGGAAUAUUGGUCAAUGGGCGCAAGCCUGAACCAGCCAUCCCGCGUGCAGGAAGACGGCCCUAUGGGUUGUAAACUGCUUUUCCGAAAGGCGAAACUCAGCGACGUGUCGUUGAUUGACGGUAUUUCGGGAAUAAGCAUCGGCUAACUCCGUGCCAGCAGCCGCGGUAAUACGGAGGAUGCGAGCGUUAUCCGGAUUCAUUGGGUUUAAAGGGUGCGUAGGCGGACUAAUAAGUCAGUGGUGAAAUCCUGCAGCUUAACUGCAGAACUGCCAUUGAUACUGUUAGUCUUGAGUUUGGUUAAGGUAGGCGGAAUGUGUAAUGUAGCGGUGAAAUGCUUAGAUAUUACACAGAACACCAAUUGCGUAGGCAGCUUACUGGACCGACACUGACGCUGAGGCACGAAAGCGUGGGGAUCGAACAGGAUUAGAUACCCCUGUAGUC
rnacentral:rRNA from 1 species